rnacentral:rRNA from 1 species
AUGAACGCUGGCGGCGUGCCUAAUCCAUGCCAGUCGCGCGAACAGACGAGGAGCUUGCUCCUCUGACGUUAGCGGCGGACGGGUGAGUAACACGUGGAUAACCUACCUAUAAGACUGGGAUAACUUCGGGAAACCGGAGCUAAUACCGGAUAAUAUAUUGAACCGCAUGGUUCAAUAGUGAAAGACGGUUUUGCUGUCACUUAUAGCUGGAUCCGCGCCGCAUUAGCUAGUUGGUAAGGUAACGGCUUACCAAGGCAACGAUGCGUAGCCGACCUGAGAGGGUGAUCGGCCACACUGGAACUGAGACACGGUCCAGACUCCUACGGGAGGCAGCAGUAGGGAAUCUUCCGCAAUGGGCGAAAGCUUGACGGAGCAACGCCGCGUGAGUGAUGAAGGUCUUCGGAUCGUAAAACUCUGUUAUUAGGGAAGAACAAAUGUGUAAGUAACUAUGCACGUCUUGACGGUACCUAAUCAGAAAGCCACGGCUAACUACGUG